UCGACGAUGAUCCGGUGCUUGCACCGGGGAUUAGUGGCGAACGGGUGAGUAACACGUGAGUAACCUGCCCUUAACUCUGGGAUAAGCCUGGGAAACUGGGUCUAAUACCGGAUAUGACUGAUCAUCGCAUGGUGGUUGGUGGAAAGCUUUUUGUGGUUUUGGAUGGACUCGCGGCCUAUCAGCUUGUUGGUGAGGUAAUGGCUUACCAAGGCGACGACGGGUAGCCGGCCUGAGAGGGUGACCGGCCACACUGGGACUGAGACACGGCCCAGACUCCUACGGGAGGCAGCAGUGGGGAAUAUUGCACAAUGGGCGAAAGCCUGAUGCAGCGACGCCGCGUGAGGGAUGACGGCCUUCGGGUUGUAAACCUCUUUCAGUAGGGAAGAAGCGAAAGUGACGGUACCUGCAGAAGAAGCGCCGGCUAACUACGUGCCAGCAGCCGCGGUAAUACGUAGGGCGCAAGCGUUAUCCGGAAUUAUUGGGCGUAAAGAGCUCGUAGGCGGUUUGUCGCGUCUGCCGUGAAAGUCCGGGGCUCAACUCCGGAUCUGCGGUGGGUACGGGCAGACUAGAGUGAUGUAGGGGAGACUGGAAUUCCUGGUGUAGCGGUGAAAUGCGCAGAUAUCAGGAGGAACACCGAUGGCGAAGGCAGGUCUCUGGGCAUUAACUGACGCUGAGGAGCGAAAGCAUGGGGAGCGAACAGGAUUAGAUACCCUGGUAGUCCAUGCCGUAAACGUUGGGCACUAGGUGUGGGGGACAUUCCACGUUUUCCGCGCCGUAGCUAACGCAUUAAGUGCCCCGCCUGGGGAGUACGGCCGCAAGGCUAAAACUCAAAGGAAUUGACGGGGGCCCGCACAAGCGGCGGAGCAUGCGGAUUAAUUCGAUGCAACGCGAAGAACCUUACCAAGGCUUGACAUGAACCGGAAAGACCUGGAAACAGGUGCCCCGCUUGCGGUCGGUUUACAGGUGGUGCAUGGUUGUCGUCAGCUCGUGUCGUGAGAUGUUGGGUUAAGUCCCGCAACGAGCGCAACCCUCGUUCUAUGUUGCCAGCACGUGAUGGUGGGGACUCAUAAGAGACUGCCGGGGUCAACUCGGAAGGAAGGUGGGGACGACGUCAAAUCAUCAUGCCCCUUAUGUCUUGGGCUUCACGCAUGCUACAAUGGCCCGG
rnacentral:rRNA from 1 species